GGAUGGAAUCUUUCAACAUUUCCUCACGGUACUCUCUCUAUUGUGCCUAUAGAAUAUCCUGGAUAUUCUGAUAUCCAGCAAGAUAUCAGAGGGAGAUGAAGGAAGAAGACAAAGGGAAGAAGAGAGGUGCAGAAUGAUUAUAAAUUAAAGUAUAAAGUCAGGUGAAAGAUGGACCCUUCAUUCAGCCUGAUUGAAUCCUUGAUGCUUGAAGUAAUGAGAACUUGGAUGAUUUCAAAUCAUGCAGCUGUUUCAACAAAUAAGAAAAUUUGUGUGUACAAAAUGAGAGGGAUACCUGAAGAUUUGAAGAAAAAUUUCCUUCUUGGGAAGUAUAGAAUGGAAAGAUGAAAGACUUCUAGUAGCCAGGUAUGU